rnacentral:rRNA from 1 species
AUUGAACGCUGGCGGCAGGCUUAACACAUGCAAGUCGAGCGGAGCGAGGGUGCUUGCACCUUAGCUUAGCGGCGGACGGGUGAGUAAUGCUUAGGAAUCUGCCUAUUAGUGGGGGACAACAUUCCGAAAGGAAUGCUAAUACCGCAUACGCCCUACGGGGAAAAGCAGGGGAUCUUCGGACCUUGCGCUAAUAGAUGAGCCUAAGUCGGAUUAGCUAGUUGGUGGGGUAAAGGCCUACCAAGGCGACGAUCUGUAGCGGGUCUGAGAGGAUGAUCCGCCAAACUGGGACUGAGACACGGCCCAGACUCCUACGGGAGGUAGCAGUGGGGAAUAUUGGACAAUAGGCGGAAGCCUGAUCCAGCCAUGCCGCGUGUGUGAAGAAGGCCUUUUGGUUGUAAAGCACUUUAAGCGAGGAGGAGGCUACUUAGAUUAAUACUCUAGGAUAGUGGACGUUACUCGCAGAAUAAGCACCGGCUAACUCUGUGCCAGCAGCCGCCGUAAAAC